rnacentral:rRNA from 1 species
AGAGUUUGAUCAUGGCUCAGAAUAAACGUUGGCGGUGCGCCUUAUGCAUGCAAGUCGAACGGGGUUAUGGUUUUCGGAUUGUAACCCAGUGGCGAACGGCUGAGUAACACGUAAGUAACCUGCCUGGGAGUGGGAAAUAACCUGCCGAAAGGCAAGCUAAUGUCCCAUGUGGUAACGAAGCACAUGCUUGGUUACUAAAGCCUUCGGGUGCUCCGAGAGGGGCUUGCGUCCGAUUAGCUAGUUGGUAGGGUAACGGCCUACCAAGGCAUUGAUCGGUAGCUGGUCUGAGAGGAUGGUCAGCCAGAUGGGGACUGAGACACGGCCCCAACUCCUACGGGAGGCGGCAGCAAGGAAUUUUGGGCAAUGAGCGAAAGCUUGACCCAGCGACACCGCGUGAGGGAUGAAGGCCUUCGGGUUGUAAACCUCUUUUCUUGGGGAAGAAUUUUGACGGUACCCAGGGAAUAAGCCUCGGCUAACUACGUGCCAGCAGCCGCGGUAAUACGUAGGAGGCGAACGUUAUUCGGAUUUACUGGGCGUAAAGGGAGCGUAGGCGGCUCAUCAAGUCAGAUGUGAAAUCUUUUGACUCAAUCAGAAGGCGCCAUCUGAUACUAGUGGGCUUGAGAGCAAUAGAGGGAAAUGGAAUCCCCAGUGUAGCGGUGAAAUGCGUAGAUAUUGGGGAGAACACCAGUGGCGAAGGCGAUUUUCCAGGUUGUUUCUGACGCUGAGGCUCGAAAGCGUGGGAAGCGAAGCGGAUUAGAUACCCGCGUAGUCCACGCCCUAAACGGUGGACACUAGAUAUGGGAGGUAUCGACCCUUUCCGUGUCGAAGCUAACGCUUUAAGUGUCCCGCCUGGGGAGUACGGCCGCAAGGCUAAAACUCAAAGGAAUUGACGG